rfam:Gorilla gorilla gorilla genomic chromosome, chr15, whole genome shotgun sequence
GAUGGGUAUGGUGAUGCAUGCCUGUAGUCCUAGCUACUCAGGAGGCUGAGGCAGGAGAAUUGCUUGAGCCCAGGAGUUCAAGGCUGCAGUGAGGUAUGUUGUGCCACUGUGCUCCAGCCUGGGCAACAAACCAAGAACCUGUCUCUA